UUACUGUUUCACACACCUCUUUUUUCUCCUUGUUUCUACAUUAUUAUUAUGAUGAUGCUUAAAUUUAAGCAAACCAUGACUUGAUCCCUAUAUCUCCUCUUGAUAAUGAAGCUUAUUUAUGAAGAUAAAGUUUCUCAAAUACAUUCAAUGCUGUGCCUGGCACUGAGGAUAAAAGAACAAGUCAGAAUCCCUGUCCUCAACAAGCUUACUCCUUUUUAGCCCUUUCUGUUUGCUCAUUUAUUUAAACAGUAUUUCUUGCGUAUCUGAAGGGAGGGCAAUAGGAAUAAUUGUGAGAGGUCACCUAAGUUACGAUGAGUUGGGGAACAAAGCAUGCCUACCUGAGGAGAUGGCAUUAAGAUGGAGACCUGAAGAACAAGAAGAUGGUCCAGGGACCAGGAAAGUGGAGGGAGAAUGCUAAGCUGAUGGAACAGUGUGUGCAAACCCUGACGUGGGAAAGAGGUGGCUGCGGUGGCUGGAGAGCAGUGAGAGAGGGCCAGGGUGCAUGAGAGGCGGUAACAAGGUACCAGGUGAGGUCACGCUAUAGGAAGGCAUUUCUUCUUCUCCCAGAUCCCCUGGUGGCCCAAUCCUUCACCUCCUCCAAGUCUUUGCUGCAGCCACCUUCUCAGUUAGGCCCACCCUGACCAUCUUAUUUAAAUUGUAAUAGCUCCCUCACUCCAAUUAGUUUCCUUUGCACCUAUCACCUUCUAGCACAAGAUAAUACAUGAUUUGUUUAUUAUGUUUCUUAUUUGUUCCCCACCCCACCACCCCUCUUCCAUAAGCUUCAGGAAGGCAGGAAUUUUUAUCUUUUUUGUUUACUGGUGUUUUCCUAACUUCUUGAACAGGGCCUGGCCUGUGGCAGGUAAUCAAUGGCUGUCGAAUGGAACUAAAUUGAAAGGCAAUGAAUGUUUUAAGCAUGGAUGUGACUUUAUCUCAUUUAUAUUUCUGAAAGAUAACUCUGGAUGCGGACUGAAAAGAAUGCUUUAAAUCCAAAAGACACCUUUCUGCAUCGUUCUGCUUCAACUUCAGAAUCUCAAAUGAAGACUUUGCUAAGAAGAUGAAACGUGCUGAUGUGUGUGCCUGAAGCCCCAGAUGAGCCCCCUUUCCUGGGGAGGAGUCAGCCAGAAUCCAACUACCACAAGCAAACAGGCAGCGCUGGUGUGAACCAUGCCGAUGAAAAUUCAGGUCAAGCAAAAUGAGGACCAAGAACUGGCCAUUGGAUCGGGCAACAUGGAUUUCAUUGGUUAUCUUGACACUGGAGUGAGGGGGAAGAGGAAUGAUGGGGAGGAAAGCCCAAGUGGAGUAUGUUCAAGAAAAAAUGAGGAAAGAGGAAGUGGACACAGUAAGUAUAACAACUUUUUCAAGCAAUUUUGUCCAAAAGAGAAUCAGAGGAAUGAGGCAGUAGCUGGAAGGGGAUAUGGAGUGAGAGGAAAGUGUGUUUGUUUGUUAAAGAUGGGAGAUAUUAUAGCACGUUUGCACGUUUAUCUGAAUAAGUCACUAGAGAGAGAGAGAAAUUGAUGAUGCAGGAGAGAGGAGGAUUGCAAGAGCAAGGUCCUUGCGUAGGGGAAGGGGGAGAGAUCCCAGAUGUAGGUGAGGGUCAGUUUUGGAGAGGAACAUAGACAGUUACAGAAGGAGCCUUACAACAGGAGGGAAGUAGAACAUAAGGGUACGCAUGCAGACAUUUGAUAGACUCAGCGGUACGUCUGCGGAAGCUCUCUUACCAUGCUUUUAUUUUCUAAGUAAAAUAAGAAGCAAGCCCAGCAGUUGGAAGUGAGGAGGCUUGAGAAGAGAGGAGAAUCAGUGGAAAACUGUCUUCAGAGAAUGGGAGAGUGAGUUGACUGAGGAACCUGGCUGGAUUGCCUGGCGGCACAGAGGGUUUGAAGUCACUUAAGAUUUGAUGCUAUUGUUGAGUCAUUAUGAUCAAACCACCAAACUCUGGGCCUCCCUUUGCCCCGAACCCUCACAUGUGGUCUCCUUUAAAACAUAGCAUCUGCUAUUUUAUUUGAUCUACAAACGUUUGUGUCACCCUUAAUCAAGUCCCAGGUGAGUAGGUGCAGUCAGGGCACGUUCUCUCCAGGGUCAGGCUUGGAGGCGGGUAGGGAGGAGAGAGAGAGAGGGAAGGAAAGAUGGACUCCAUGGGGACCUUGAGGCCUCAGCCCUAUGAACAGAGGGAAAUCAAUAUUCUUUGAAGACAGAAGCUCCCUUCAGGAGGGAGAGAAGAAAUAACUGGAAUGUGGCUUUGAUUUAAGAACUAAAUGAACUUCCAUACACUGAACCCGAGAAUUAGACAGGCCUACCCACCCAAGCCCAAGCUUCAAUGGACCACUGCAGACCUCCCCAAGGGGCCUACCUAAAACUUACAGCAUGGAGGAGAAAGGUCAGAAAAUAAGUGUUUGUGUGUGUUUGUGUGUGUGUGUCCCUGUAGGUAGCUCAUUGCCAAGAAGAGAGAAACAAGGAAGGUGUUUUCACCUGAUGUAGGUGGAGUUUCUCCCUCCAAAGUCAUCAAUCAGGUACAUCAUUCUACCUGGCAGGGGUGGAGUGGGGAAGGGCAAGUGGGAGAGAAGGAGGCCAGGAGUGUGACACUAAUUCAUGUCUCCCACACAGAAGGAAACAGCAGGAAUGGGGAAGGAAGUUUCCCUCCUUAUAGUCAUGAAUUGAAAGAGAGGUCUUGGACCAUGAGAGGCUGCCCAGUCCCACGCCUUGGCCUUGAGCCCCUCUUCAGCCCUGAAGCAAGCACUGGAUAGAUGAGAGGGAGUGAGGAAUUUGAGGGUACGAACAAGGAAUUGAUUACCAUGUUGGCCUAUGUAAUCUGAGCUAGCUAACAAGGGAAGUGAGAUAGUGAAAAGGAGGUAGGACCAAUCAAUUGGAGGCCCAAGGGAGGUCAAAGAAUGGGUUGGAUUUGAGGUUGCAAAGGGAACGUACUAGAAAGGUCACAGCCUUUCAUAUAUUUGAGAAUCAUUAUUAUGGCCCUCUUGAGUCUUUCUGCUGAAUUAAACAUACCCCGUUCCUUCACUGGUCCUCAUAUAAGAAUGUUACACGUAUAUUUAUAAACAGUGUGUUUGCUUUCUACUGAGCAUGCUGCAGCUUGUUCUUUGAAAGGGCGGCACCUGGAGACCACUACAAGACUCCAUCAAGGGGAAGUAGGCAAGGAGCCAGUCUCCCCUAGUCAUGGACACCCUCCCUCAACUGGCGCAGUAAGCCAUGCACCUCCUUCCUCUUUCAGUGUUUCCCUCCCCUGCUAACUCACCUUGAGCUCUCUGGCUACUACAACCCCCACGUCUUUCUUGUUCAAGUGCUGCUACCAGGCAAGAGCACUGCCACCCCA